AUUGAACGCUAGCGGCAUGCCUUACACAUGCAAGUCGAGCGAGCGGCGGACGGGUGAGUAAUGUAUGGGAAACUGCCCGGUGGAGGGGGAUAACUACUCGAAACGGUAGCUAAUACCGCAUACCAUCGGAUGUGCCGAGAUGGGAUUCGCUAGUUGGUGGGGUAACGGCUCACCUAGGCGACGAUCCGUAGCUGGUUUGAGAGGAUGACCAGCCACACUGGAACUGAGACACGGCCCAGACUCCUACGGGAGGCAGCAGUGGGGAAUAUUGCACAAUGGGCGAAAGCCUGAUGCAGCCAUCCCGCGUGUAUGAAGAAGGCCUUCGGGUUGUAAAGUACUUUCAGCGGGGAGGCGUUACCUGCAGAAGAAGCACCGGCUAACUCCGUGCCAGCAGCCGCGGUAAUUC
rnacentral:rRNA from 1 species